GCAUAACGCGAAGAACCUUACCAGGCCUUGACAUGCAGAGAACUUAGCAGAGAUGCUUUGGUGCCUUCGGGAACUCUGAGACAGGUGCUGCAUGGCUGUCGUCAGCUCGUGUUGUGAAAUGUUGGGUUAAGUCCCGCAACGAGCGCAACCCUUAUCCUUUGUUGCCAGCGGUUAGGCCGGGAACUCAAAGGAGACUGCCAGUGAUAAACUGGAGGAAGGUGGGGAUGACGUCAAGUCAUCAUGGCCCUUACGAGUAGGGCUACACACGUGCUACAAUGGCGCAUACAAAGGGAAGCGACCUCGCGAGAGCAAGCGGACCUCAUAAAGUGCGUCGUAGUCCGGAUUGGAGUCUGCAACUCGACUCCAUGAAGUCGGAAUCGCUAGUAAUCGUAGAUCAGAAUGCUACGGUGAAUACGUUCCCGGGUCUUGUACACACCG
rnacentral:rRNA from 1 species